rnacentral:lncRNA from 1 species
UUCGCCCCAGCAUCUAUUGAUGGAUGUUUCGACAGCUUGCUUUGUAAUACAAAGAGGGGAAACCCUUUUUUGGUAAAACUAUACCCAUGUAUACAAGCCACCUACCAAAAUCAUAUGUACUCGCUCUGAAAAUGAACCAACAUCCAACAUCUAUCCGAGGGUGGCCUUUAUACACCCAAUAUACAGAAACAUGAUAUCGCACACCCUUGGCUGAAAGGCAAGAUGAUGAACCUUGAAAAAAUCGUCAUGGCCAUGCAUUAAGAGCCAAAACUGCAGCAAGCGAUAGAUAUGCAUAGCACCCAAAUGGACAAACAUGUUGCUGCUUUCACCUGUUGCAGCCUACUCAUUUUCCACUCCCAGACCGACGCCUUCAUCAGGGGACCAGCGCAGUUGAAAGACGAGCUAAUUAUAUAUCCUCACCGGCUUCUCAUGCGUGUGACCGUU